UACGUAGGGUGCGAGCGUUAAUCGGAAUUACUGGGCGUAAAGCGUGCGCAGGCGGUUCGUUGUGUCGGCGGUGAAAGCCCCGGGCUCAACCUGGGAAUGGCCGUUGAAACUGGCGAACUGGAGUGUGGCAGAAGGGGGUGGAAUUCCGCGUGUAGCAGUGAAAUGCGUAGAGAUGCGGAGGAACACCGAUGGCGAAGGCAGCCCCCUGGGCUGACACUGACGCUCAGGCACGAAAGCGUGGGGAGCAAACAGG
rnacentral:rRNA from 1 species